AUUGAACGCUGGCGGCAGGCCUAACACAUGCAAGUCGAACGAGUGGCGGACGGGUGAGUAAUGUCUGGGAAACUGCCUGAUGGAGGGGGAUAACUACUGGAAACGGUAGCUAAUACCGCAUACCAUCGGAUGUGCCCAGAUGGGAUUAGCUAGUAGGUGGGGUAAAGGCUCACCUAGGCGACGAUCCCUAGCUGGUCUGAGAGGAUGACCAGCCACACUGGAACUGAGACACGGGCCAGACUCCCAAGGGAGGGCAGCGGGGGGAAUUAUGCAAAAAGGGGGGAAGGCCGAUGACGGCAUGCCGGGUGUAUUAAGAAGGCCUUCGGGUUUGAAAGUACUUUCAGCGGGGAGGCGUUACCCGGAGAAGAAGCCCCGGCUAACUUCGUGCCAGCAGCCGCGGUAAUAC
rnacentral:rRNA from 1 species